AGAGCAUACGGUGGAUGCCUUGGCGAUAUCUGCCGAUGAAGGACGCGACAAGCUGCGAAAAGCUGCGGAGAGGUGCAAAUGACCAUUGACCCGCAGAUCUCCGAAUGGAGCAAUCCGGCAGGGUUUAUCCCCUGUCACCCAUAUCUUCGAAUAUGGGAGGGAACCGGGCGAACUGAAACAUCUAAGUAGCCUGAGGAAGAGUAAUCAAACGAGAUACCCCAAGUAGCGGCGAGCGAACGGGGCCCAAGCCCAAACCGGUGAAGGAAACUUUGCCGGGGUUGAGGACUGCCAUACGAACUAGCCCAUUAGCCGAAAUUCCUGGGAAGGAAUGCCGAAGAAUGUGAAAGCCAUGUAAGCGAAAAUGGAAAAGGGACAGGCAGCACCAGAGUACCGCGGGACACGAGAAACCCCGUGGGAAGCCGGGGGGACCACCCUCCAAGGCAAAACACAGAUAUCGACCGAUAGCGCAUAGUACCAUGAGGGAAAGGUGAAAAGCACCCCGGGAGGGGAAUGAAAGAGAACCUGAAACCGUAUGUUUACAAGCAGUCGAAGACCGCUUAAUAAUAAGGUCAACGGCGUGCCUAUUGAAGAAUGAACCGGCGAGUUAUGAGGUCCAGCAAGGUUAAGCAGGAAAUGCGGAGCCGAAGCGAAAGCGAGUCUUAAUAGGGCGACAAGUUGGAUUGCAUAGACCCGAAACCACAGUGAUCUACCCAUGUCCAGGCUGAAGCACAGGUAAAAAUGUGUGGAGGGCCGAACCUAUAUCCGUUGAAAAGGGUUAGGAUGAGGUGUGGGUAGGGGUGAAAUUCCAAUCGAACGUGGAGAUAGCUGGUUCUCCCCGAAAUAGCUUUAGGGCUAGCCUCGAGGUAGAGAUUGCAGGCGGUAGAGCACUGAUCAGGAGAGGGGCCUACCCGGCUACCAAACCCAGUCAAACUACGAAUGGCUGCAAUUAUACUCGGGAGUCAGACUACGACUUAUAAGGGCCGUGGUCAAAAGGGAAACAGCCCAGAUCAUCAGCUAAGGUCCCAAAUGCCGUGCUAAGUGGCGAAGGAUGUGGCGUUUCAUAAACAACCAGGAUGUUGGCUCAGAAGCAGCCACCAUUUAAAGAGUGCGUAAUAGCUCACUGGUCGAGAGACGCUGCGCCGAAAAUGUCCGGGGCUCAAGCACGGAACCGAAGCUAUGGCAUUGACUAUGUCAAUGGGUAGGGGAGCGUUCUUAACAGGAAGAAGCAUGACCGAAAGGACAUGUGGACCGUUAAGAAGUGAGAAUGCCGGUAUGAGUAUCGAAAAGAAAGGUGAGAAUCCUUUCCACCGAAAGCCCGAGGGUUCCUGAGCAACGAUCGUCGUCUCAGGGUAAGUCGGGACCUAAGCCGAGGCGGAGACGCAUAGGCGAUGGACAACAGGUUGAAAUUCCUGUACCGGAUACAAUCGUUUGAGCGAUGGAGCGACGCAGAAAGGCAUAUGAUCGCGCGACUGGAAGAGCGCGUCCAAGUGCGUAUGUUGAAUCGGAGGCAAAUCCCUGAUUCUGAAAGCAGAGACACGAUGGGGAGUUAUACGAAAGUAUGACGAACUCAUAGAUCCUACACUGCCAAGAAAAACUUCUAGUGAGAAAGUAUCCGCCCGUACCGUAAACCGACACAGGUAGGCGGGGAGAGAAUCCUAAGGUGCGCGGGAAAACCCUCGUUAAGGAACUCGGCAAAUUGCAUCCGUAACUUAGGGAGAAGGAUGACCUUAAGUAAGCGAAAGGGAGAAACCCCUGGAACAGAACAAGGUGGCAGAAAAGAGGCCCAAGCAACUGUUUACCAAAAACACAGGUGCCUGCGAAAGCGAAAGCUGAAGUAUAGGUGCUGACGCCUGCCCGGUGCUGGAAGGUUAAGGAGAGAUGUCAGAGCAAUCGAAGCAUUGAACUGAAGCCCCAGUGAACGGCGGCCGUAACUAUAACGGUCCUAAGGUAGCGAAAUUCCUUGUCGGGUAAGUUCCGACCCGCAUGAAAGGCGUAAUGAUUUGGGCACUGUCUCAACGAGGGGCCCGGUGAAAUUGAAAUACCUGUGAAGAUGCAGGUUACCCGCGACUGGACAGAAAGACCCCAUGGAGCUUCACUGCAGCUUGAGAUUGAAUCUCGGUGAUGCAUGCACAGGAUAGGUGGGAGACUUUGAAGUAUGGGCUUUGGCUUAUACCGAGUCGAUGUUGGGAUACCACCCUUGUAUUGCUGAGAUUCUAACACGGAGGCUAACAACCUCGUGGACCAUCUCAGGUAGGCGGUUUGACUGGGGCGGUCGCCUCCGAAAGAGUAACGGAGG
rnacentral:rRNA from 1 species